GCAGCAGCCGCGGGAAUACGUAGGUGGCAAGCGUUGUCCGGAAUUAUUGGGCGUAAAGGGCUCGCAGGCGGUUUCUUAAGUCUGAUGUGAAAGCCCCCGGCUCAACCGGGGAGGGUCAUUGGAAACUGGGAAACUUGAGUGCAGAAGAGGAGAGUGGAAUUCCACGCGUAGCGGUGAAAUGCGUAGAGAUGUGGAGGAACACCAGUGGCGAAGGCGACUCCCUGGUCUGUAACUGACGCUGAGGAGCGAAAGCGUGGGGAGCGAACAGGAUUAGAUACCCCAGUAGUCCCUGUCUCUUAUAC
rnacentral:rRNA from 1 species